UACGAAGGUCCCAAGCGUUAUCCGGAUUUAUUGGGUUUAAAGGGUGCGUAGGCGGGCUAUUAAGUCAGUGGUGAAAUCCUGUUGCCCAACAACAGAAUUGCCAUUGAUACUGAUGGUCUUGAGUACAUUUGAAGUGGGCGGAAUGUGUCAUGUAGCGGUGAAAUGCUUAGAUAUGACACAGAACACCGAUUGCGUAGGCAGCUCACUAAACUGUAACUGACGCUGAGGCACGAAAGCGUGGGGAGCAAACGGG
rnacentral:rRNA from 1 species